UCGCUAAUAAAUGAAGGGUGGUGCUUCCACCACCACCACCCCUUGCUCCCUUCACCUCCACAGUCUUUUACAAAAUUCUUUUAAUUACAAAGGUAGCCUUUUUUUUACUUUUAACCCUAUUUAUUUACUUUAUUCUGAAACCCUAAAUUUCUACCUAUUUUUACUCAUCCAUUUUCACUCGCGCAGCCCCACCUCCCCACUUUUCCAAGUCUCAUUUUCUCU
rnacentral:lncRNA from 1 species